GAAAACAUUGUAAAACCAUUGUAACCACACACUUACUUUGCCUCGUGAAAACUGGCUAUAAAAUAAAGACUCGGCUUGCAGUCUGUGGCGCUGUCACUAGCUCUCCAUCAGAGAGGACAGCGUCC